ACUACUACUACUACUACUACUACUACUACUACUACUACUACUACUACUACUACUACUACUACUACUACUACUACUACUACUACUACUACUACUACUACUGCUAUUACUUCUACUAUUAUUACUACCGUACUUGUAAUAAGGAUUUAAAGAACAUAGGAACUUAGUUGAUGCGAUUUCACAAAUGAUGCAACUUUUUGAGAAGAGCGUCCCUCUUUUUACGAAUACCUGCGCAAGACAGAUCCGACCCGUCCAGAGAUAUCUCAUGUCAGUGUACGAUAUAAUUAUAAUUACUCGCGACCAAUAAAUAAACAAAGCUAAUGGAAUAAAAAUACAAGAAAGAAGCAGAAACGAAAUUAAACAAAAAGAAGAGUAAGAACGAAAAUGAACGAUAAGAUACGAAACAAGUAACAAGCUGCGAAAGAAUAGAAAAAAAGAAAUGACGAAAGAAAUCAUCAUAACCGGAAUCAUCGAGCGUAUUGUAGUUAAUCCUUUAUACUUGUAAGCUGGACGUGUCGCGCAGUCCUGUGCAGGUGCGACUAAAUAAUCGUGGGCGUGAAAGGGACGAAGACGACGAAGGGCGACGAACGGUCUUUUUUUCUCCCUCCCAAAGAAGUAUUGUGUCGUCGUCGUCUCCCUCCGUCGCGCUCAGGGACACCUUUUUCCUCGAGACGUUUUGCCGCUUUCAUUGUUUAGAUGAUUACUAUUUAACGACAAAAAAAUAAAAAACGAAAAAAUCGAAAAUACGACGGAGAUCGUCGGCGGAAGGAAGAGUAACGAUGACAGAGGAGGGGUAAACGGAAAAGAACAAAAAAAGAAAAAAGGGGAUCGAGACCAGAACCUUUUUAAUGACCCAACACACGUCGCCGUUAACGUGUUCGUUAUGUGCGAGAUGGGCAUUUCUUUUUCAGAGAAAACAAGAUACCAAAAAAGUAAAAAAAUGUUACGAUGAAACAGACAAAAAACAACAAAAGACAUUUCGAAUAAAGGAAAAAAAAAAAUACACGAAGAAUAACGGAGUGAAGGAGAGAGCGUGAGUGUCGUCUCCUGUUGCGCUCGACCACAGACAUCGACCUGAUUUGUAACUCGAGGAUCGUCCAUGCACUCGCGUAACGUCGAUUUUUCCUUACGUCGAACGAUCGAACCCCUUCGUUUAGAAUAAUCAUCGGUUCCUUUCAGCUCGAAAUUUCCAAGAUCUUAAUAUAUACGUAUAUCCCAAAGUCGAACAUAGUUCUUGACAACCAGAGAUCCCAAAGAUCUCUCUCAAUACACGCGAACAAGGUAACCUAAGAGCGACCUUUGUCACCAAAGAGUAACCAGCCGUAUCGACAGCGUCGUUUCUGAAUACUCUAACGAGGCAAGAAACGGUUCUAACGUGCCGGUACACUUGGUCUGCUCGCUUGGUGACCCGAACGAACCGACAACGCAGGUACUUUGAAUUCGAGCCGGAGCUCGUCACGAGAAACUUCGACGCUGACGAGGAAACGAUGAUACGAGUACACAGGGUAACCGGAAACGAGGGAAAGAGAGUGGAUGGUAAAAGCGUAGGUUUCACGGUGCCGACGUUGCAAUCGCGCAAUUGCCGCGUGGCGAUACUCCUUCAGACGAAAAGUGCGGUCCUUUUCUCGGUCGUUGUUGAGCCACGUAAAACUGCCACGAACAAAAAACGUCUCUCUGGCCAGGCAAGGGGAGCAAAGGAAAACGGGGGGGUGCGACGGGCACAGGGAGGAAAGGAGGCGACGAGAGCCGCGUAGACCAGGCAAGGACGAUCCUCGAGAGGGUGAGCACACGAAGGGGAUUUAAACCGACGAAACGGCUUGAGCGCUGGGAGAAACAGGAGUGUACAGGGGUGGGUACAGGGGGAGAGAGAAACACGGGCAAAGGACAGGUGCGCGGGAGGUUGAACGGAAGAGGAUAUAGCCCACGCGAGAGAUCGACGAGAAUUUUCGUGGAAAGGUGCGGUGCGGAUCGAACGAAAGAAUGAGAGGGAGAUGUGGCGCGUGCGUGCGUGUGCAAGAGGAACGGACAAAAGGGUUGAGGGAAGGGAGCAGGGGAACAGUGGAACGUUUACAGGGAGACGAAAAGCGAGUAAACGAUGGUGGAAGAGUACGGUCCUCGGGAAAAGCCACGUUCGGCCCUCUCUCGUCGCGACGAGCAUUUAAUCAAUGGUAGGGGAUGCUUAGUGGACUUAAUCUUAGGGAACUGACGAAAGAAAAAAAUGAGAGAGCCGACGAAGAAGGGGCGUGGAGAGGCGGAAUCGUAGCGAACGUCGAAAUUUUUGAUUGCGUCGCGCGAACGAUGAGAAUAAACAGAGGGUGAUAGAAGCGACGAAGAAAGGACGAAGUAGCGGUUGAGAAAGAGAUUGGGCGGGGAGUUAGAAAGCAUACGAAAGAUACACUAUGAAAUAUCAGGAGAAACAUUUACGUAGAGUGAGAGAGAAUGCGAGUAGGAGAGAGAGAGCGUAAGAUUUUGCUGCGUGUUGCGGGGUGUAUGUCGAAAAAUUACGCGCGUACAGAAACGCGAGCUGGACGAAAUUAACGUGUAACGAAGCAGGAAAGGGAAUUGGAAGAACAGUAAUGAAAAGCGGGUGAUAUAAGAGAGAUAAUAAAUGGAGACGUUGUACUGAGGAGAAAUAGGGGUGAAUUAGGGAGAGAGAGAAAGAGUGACAGAGAGCGAGAGCGAGAGCGAGAGAGAUAGAGAGAGUGAGAGAGAGAGAGGGAGAAUGAACGGGUGGAAUGCGAAGCUAGCUUAAAAAAAGGCACAUUCUGUCAAUUUGUCAAUAUUGUCAUGAUUCGAUAAUGGUCGAUUGGUAUGCCUACGAUUGAACUUCUAUUUACCGGGUGGAUGUAUGAUGAUUCAGUACGAUUCUUAUAAUUAUUAUCAUUAUUAUUCUUAAUUAAUUAAUUGAUUAUCAUUAUCAAUUAUCAUUAACAGUGCGAAAGUAGGAGUAAUAAACCACAAAACAGAGAAAACAGGAAACCGAUGAUAAAGCAAAAACACAAAAAAAAAAAAAUAAAGAAAGAAAGGCAACCACUUAUAUUAUUGUACAUAUUUACUUGUAACUGCUAUUCGUAUUGCAGUGGUUUUGUUCUCUCAACAAAUGAUUUCCUCGAUUCUGCGGGAAGAAAAAAAAAUGAAUAAAAUAAAAUUUGUGUAUUAUUAAGAUCCGCGAGUACGUUUCAUUUUCCCACUGACCUAUCCUAAAUUAACCAAUCUUAAAUUACAGGAACAAAAGGUGAGAACAAGAAUUUUUUCUUUAUUUUCUUCGUCGUUUUACGGGGUUAAUUUUCAGCUCGAAAUUCAAUUCAACGAACUUUUUUUUUCUUACGCGAUCGAGUUCCACUCUUUCGAAUUCGGGACGGUAAUUUCACGGAAACGCGACCGUUUGUGGUAAAAUUGAAUCCGUGCCGCGUUACGUUCCUGGAUCUUUUACGGCAUCGAAGAUAAGCUAUCUAUCGGCGUGCGCGACGAUCUCGCGUUUUUAUUUGUUCUUCGAAACGAUUUACCUCUUCGGCCACCCUGUCCUCUUUCGACCGCGAAAGAUCAAACACGAUACGCGCGUUCUGUCGCCAUCUUGUGGAUUUAUAACCGUAUCAGAGUAUUGAUUUCUUACUUGUGGGCAAAAAUUACAGAUACCGUCGCUCGUUCUUUCCUAGAAAUGAGGGUUUCAAUUUAUUAUGAGACGUAAUCAAGUUGCAGCGCCGAUACGAUAACACGCACGGACCUGUUAUCCUGCCAAUACGCUGGAUUAUUGAAUUAUCCGAAAGUGGUUGCGUGUAUCCGGGCUUAAGCGUAUUUAUAGCUUCGUUUUGCCGCGGAAACGUGUUUGCGUUUUGUAAUAUUCGGUUGUUUAAUUCAUGAAAGACCGAGCAGUAAAGUAAUCUAUAGCAGUUACAUAAUCGCAUCAUUGAGAAAAGUAAAUAAACUAAUUUAUGUACUGUUUUAUCAAGGUAGCAGAAAUUCAUUAAAAUGUUAUUAUAAUUAUAUUUAUAUACAUAGAAAAGAUGAUAAAAGGGAUAUGUGAUCAUAAUACUUCUAUUUCCCCAAAUUUUACAAAAUUGUUGGAUCUAGAUAGAUGAUAAUAAUACUCAUUAAGAUAAGCAGACAAUUCAGGAAUCAUAUGUUUCUGUGAGAUUUAAAAAAUGUAAUCAUAGGAUUCCGUAUGAUAAGAUAAGAAAAUUAAAGCAUUUAAUUGCCGAAUAAAAGCAGUCUCCGAUUUUAAAACAUAAAAUAAUCUCUAACGAGAUAUGAUGUACAUACUCUGUAUUCAAAGAAACAGUACAUAUCCGAAACAACUAUUACUGGCAAGAAACUUGUGAAACAGUAUGAAACCUCUUAUGUUCGUGCAAUAAUCGUUGUUUGAUUGAAUAAAUAUUCAAUGCUACUAAAUUAAAAAAUAGUCUUCCUAGAAAACACAUUGAAAUAAUAUAUUACAUAUACUACUUAUAUAAAAUCUCCUAUGAGAGAUAGGAUCAAAUACAUUUGAUUAGAAAACUAUCAGCAAUGAACUGCGUAUCACCAAGUCCUUAUAUAUUUCUUUGGAAACAUCAAAAUCACCUGGAAACCGAAACAAACUUAACAGCGAUAUUCGUUUCAUUCAAAUUCCACCUCGAAGGGAAUGCAAUCCGAGAGACGAGCAGAGAAGAUCCACGAGAAAUUCCUGACAAAAACGAGGGUUCAUCCCCGGCUUCAAUCUCAAGGAAACAUGCAUACUUUGGUGUUCCGAGUUGCGAGGCAAAGUCCGUGAGGACUCGGCACGUAAUAAGGUCUGGCAGAACGAAUCGAGUUCGAAGGUGUGAGAGCUCGACGUCGGACCGAAUCAACAGAAUGGAAGAGAAGAUCCGGACAAAA